GUACCUGUUUGUUGACUGAACGAGUAACAUCAGGCCUCUUUCUAUGUUAAUCCUGAGAAGAGGGGGAUUUCACAGUAUCAGAACGAGCUAGAGUGCUGGCCCAAGGAGGAUGAGAGCCACGUAAAGCUGAGCCACCCAGCCACCACUGCCUGCAACAGACUGGCCCUGCUGAGCCCGCCCCAGAUCAGCCAAACAGCAGCCUACUUGCACCCACUUAAUCGCCUAAAGAAUUCCACAGGGAUAUCAGAAUUGAAAGAGC